rnacentral:rRNA from 1 species
UACGUAGGGUGCGAGCGUUAAUCGGAAUUACUGGGCGUAAAGCGUGCGCAGGCGGUUUGUUGUGUCUGAUGGGAAAGCCCCGGGCUUAACCUGGGAAUGGCAUUGGAAACUGGCAAGCUGGAGUGUGGCAGAGGGGGGUGGAAUUCCGCGUGUAGCAGUGAAAUGCGUAGAGAUGCGAAGGAACACCGAUGGCGAAGGCAGCCCCCUGGGCCAACACUGACGCUCAGGCACGAAAGCGUGGGGAGCAAACAGG